AUUUGUGAUUGCAACAAAUAGGCAGCUAAGUGUGCUGCAUCCUGUUUACAAGCUUUUGCAUCCUCAUUUCCGCGACACGCUGUACAUAAAUGCACUAGCUAGGCAGGUACUCAUUAAUGCUGAAGGAGUACUGGAGGCUACUGUUUUUCCUGGAAAAUAUUCCAUGGAGAUGUCUUCUGCAAUUUACAAAGAUUGGAUUUUCACCGAUCAAGCACUGCCUGAGGAUCUCAAGAAGAGAGGAAUGGCAAUUGAGGAUGAGAAUUCACCCAAUGGUCUUCGCCUGAUGAUAGAAGACUACCCAUUUGCUGUUGAUGGGCUUGAGAUAUG
rnacentral:misc_RNA from 1 species